UACUUAAUUAUAUUGAAGGAACCAUUCAAAAAAAAAAGAAUUAUAUUGAAGGAAAAGAAAGAAACUUAGAACACCGGCUGAGAUGAUGAGAUAAUUCAUGGCUGAGAUGAUGAGGGGAAGGAAGACCAUGAAGGUUGUUUCCCCACACACACAGUAUAAAUGUUAUGCUGUUGGGCUUGGGCAGUACAAAAGUAAUGAAAUUGGGCUGGGGCAGUAAAAAUGUUAUUUUUGCCGUGUCCCAGUAUAAUUGUAAAGUUUUGGUCCAAAAACAGUAUUUUUGUAAAA